rnacentral:rRNA from 1 species
ACGCUGGCGGCACGCCUAACACAUGCAAGUCGAACGAAGUAGCAAUACUUAGUGGCAGACGGGUGAGUAACAUGUGGGUAUCUGCCCUUUGGCCUGGAAUAACACGAGGAAACUUGUGCUAAUACCGGAUAAGUCUUUACGGAGAAAGCUUUAUGCACCAUUGGAUGAGCCUGCACUUGAUUAGUUUGUUGGUGGGGUAAUGGCCUACCAAGACUUUGAUCAAUAGCUGAUUUGAGAGGAUGAUCAGCCACAUUGGGACUGAGACACGGCCCAAACUCCUACGGGAGGCAGCAGUGGGGAAUCUUGCACAAUGGAGGAAACUCUGAUGCAGCGAUGCCGCGUGAGUGAAGAAGGCCUUUGGGUUGUAAAGCUCUUUCGUCGGGGAAGAAAAUGACUGUACCCGAAUAAGAAGGUCCGGCUAACUUCGUGCCAGCAGCCGCGGUAAUACGAAGGGACCUAGCGUAGUUCGGAAUUACUGGGCUUAAAGAGUUCGUAGGUGGUUGAAAAAGUUGGUGGUGAAAUCCCAGAGCUUAACUCUGGAACUGCCAUCAAAACUUUUCAGCUAGAGUUUGAUAGAGGAAAGCAGAAUUUCUAGUGUAGAGGUGAAAUUCGUAGAUAUUAGAAAGAAUACCAAUUGCGAAGGCAGCUUUCUGGAUCAUUACUGACACUGAGGAACGAAAGCAUGGGUAGCGAAGAGGAUUAGAUACCCUCGUAGUCCAUGCCGUAAACGAUGUGUGUUAGACGUUGGAAAUUUAUUUUCAGUGUCGCAGCGAAAGCGAUAAACACACCGCCUGGGGAGUACGACC